rnacentral:rRNA from 1 species
GAUGAACGCUGGCGGCGUGCCUAAUACAUGCAAGUCGAGCGAACAGACGAGGAGCUUGCUCCUCUGACGUUAGCGGCGGACGGGUGAGUAACACGUGGAUAACCUACCUAUAAGACUGGGAUAACUUCGGGAAACCGGAGCUAAUACCGGAUAAUAUAUUGAACCGCAUGGUUCAAUAGUGAAAGACGGUUUUGCUGUCACUUAUAGAUGGAUCCGCGCCGCAUUAGCUAGUUGGUAAGGUAACGGCUUACCAAGGCAACGAUGCGUAGCCGACCUGAGAGGGUGAUCGGCCACACGGGAAGUGAGACACGGUCCAGACUCCUACGGGAGGCAGCAGUAGGGAAUCUUCCGCAAUGGGCGAAAGCCUGACGGAGCAACGCCGCGUGAGUGAUGAAGGUCUUCGGAUCGUAAAACUCUGUUAUUAGGGAAGAACAAAUGUGUAAGUAACUAUGCACGUCUUGACGGUACCUAAUCAGAAAGCCACGGCUAACUACGUG